UCGAACGUUGUUUUUACACGGUGAUGAAUGGAGGAUUUCUGGAUUUAUCUGUACAAACCAUCUGUGGUGACAAGAGUGGUGUGGUUGUCCACAACUUCACUUACCCAGACUUGGUGAGGAAUGUGCAGUGCUACAUCCGCUCCUCCAGUAAAUUUGAGUGCCUUUGGCAGACAGCCACCGAUGUUCCAGACCUCGGCUUUUUCUUUAGGGACCCGAGUAAAUCAUCUGACAACUGCGUAGGCC